UGUGGUCUUCCGAUCUGAAAAGAAGGCACAGAAGGCUAUGUCCAAACUGGGUCUUCGACAGGUUACAGGGGUUACAAGAGGCACUAUCCGGAAAUCUAAGAAUAUCCUCUUUGUCAUCACAAAACCAGAUGUCUACAAGAGCCCAGCUUCAGAUACCUACAUAGUUUUGGGGGAAGCCAAGAUCGAGGAUUUAUCUCAACAAGCACAACUAGCAGCUGCUGAGAAAUUCAAAGUUCAAGGUGAAGCUGUCUCAAACAUUCAAGAAAACACAGACUCCAACUGUACAAGAGGAGAGUGAAGAGGAAGAGGUUGAUGAAACCGGCGUAGAGGUUAAGGACAUAGAAUCGGUCAUGUCACAAGCAAAUGUGUCAAGAGCAAAGGCAGUCCGAGCCCUGAAGAACAACAGUAAUGAUAUUGUAAAUGCUAUAAUGGAAUUAACAAUGUAACCAUCUGAAAACGAGGACUUUUUUUGGUGUUUCAAAAGAAUAACUGCAGCUUGGUUUGAAAUUUGUACUGUUUCUAUCAUUAAUAAAGUUAUGGCUUCUUGUUGGAUGAAA